AACCAUGUCUUACAAACGCACCUGAACCGAACAAGACACUCCGCAGGUAGUCUGGACAGGAUCUGGAUGCAGAGUUCUUCUGGUAAUGAAUCUUCCACCAUGACUACAUUAAUUAGAAACUUGUUUAUGUAAUAAAUUAAAUUGCAUGCGAGUGUGGAGUUGUUAAUAUUGUAGAUGCAUAGACAAGAGUUAAUUAAGGAAGGUUGUAACUUGUAAGUAUGUUUAACCACUUCCGGUAAAUCGAGAGAGUAGUGGACGCGUGUACCACAUAUAUGUUACGUGUUUCACUCAAAUUCGUUUGUUGUGAUACUCGAUGAUUGACCAAAAGUAAUGCAUGCAAGAAAUCAAUGCUUUCUUUGACUAUUUAUUUAUGCAAUAAUUUGGCAAAUAAAUUGUUUAGUUCGGUUUUAUUCGAAAUUAUCAUAUCCUUCAAUAUAAUAAAUAUAAUGAGUAUAAUUAAUUGUUUGGUGCAAUAUAUCACAAAUGAAAAAAGAACUAUUACAUUGAAUAGAGGAUUAAGAUUGUAUAAUAAUAAAUUAUAUUUAUAUAUAAUACUCAAAUAAAUAUAUAAUAUAUUCUUUUUAUGUUUGAUAGGUUUUGUAAAUAUAACAUAACUCUUGUUCUUUAUGUUAUAAAUCAUAUUGGAAAAUGUUUUGUAAGUGCAGUAUGAUUUUUAUUUUAUAUUUUUUUGCCAGAAGCAGUAUGAUUCUUAUUAAAAUAAUUAUAAUUAUUAUUUUAUAUUUUAUAUUUUGUUUUUUAAUUGAAAUAUAAUUGUUUAGGGAUGGCAAAAUUUUUCGAACCGACGGAUAUCCGACCGAAUUGAUCCGAAUGGAUUUUACCAACUCGAUUUUUAUAGUAUUGUUACGGGUUUGAUUUUUUAUUUUUGAAAACCGACUGAAUUUGGUUUGGGUUUGUUUUUUAGACCAACUGAACCAAAACCCGAUCCGAAUUAUCUGAACCUGACCAAAACCCAACCGAACCCGAUAGUAUAAAUUUAUUUUAUAUCACUGUAUAAUAUAGGUCAAGUUCUAGGGAGUACAGAAUAAUAUUGUAGUACCGAUCACAGCUUUUUAGUUUAAUCACAAAUAAUAUCUUUAAUUGUAAUUUUUUUUAAUAUAAUUUAUCAUUUAUAAGUACACUUAAACAUAAUUAUCAACUAAUCAUUAAUAUAUUUGAAAUUUAACAAGUGUUAAGAUUAUUGUUUAGUUUAUGAAUUAUAUAGGAGAACAUAGUGUUUUGUAAUAGUUUUUUAAUAUUAUUUAUAUAAUUUUCGGGUCUCGGUUUAAACCGAACGGACAACCAGUAGUUCGGGUUUGGUUUUUGAACUUCGGUUUUCAGUUCGGUUCGGUUUCGGUUUUGAGAAAUACUAUUCGGUCCGGGUUCGAUUUUUGUCAAAACCGAACCAUACCGACCGAUUGUCAUCUCUAUAAUUGUUGGAUCCUUACGGAAUAUUAUUAUUUUCAUAAAAAUAAUUUUUUUUGCUGUUUUAAAAACAUAUAAAUCAACAUAUAAAAUGUUAAUAAGAUAAUUUACAAAAUAAUUGAAUAAUAUAUUUUUUUAUACUUAUAAAUAAGUGGAGUUUGGAAUUAACCUACUUAUUUUUCCAAACAGUUUAAUCACUUAUAAAUUUUAAUUAGUUUAUCCAAAUGACUUUUGUGUAUGUAUUCCAUGAUAUUAAAUUGGGUUCUUAAUAUUUUAUAAUAUUUUCGUGCAUAUUGUUACUUUACUAGAUGAAAUUGUUUAAAAAAUUAUGCCAAUUUCAAAAAAUAAUUUAAAAUAGUUUUACAAAUAUUGUCAGUUGUCCCGUCCAACAGGGGAAGGGGUCCAGACUCUCUUGCUUUCAACAGCAAGGGGGACGAGUUUUAUACCGGUGUAUCUGAUAGUAGAAUCCUCAAGUAUGAAUUGGCAAAUCAUGUUUUCGUCAAUUUUGCAACCACGUCGCCUCUCAAGUGAAUUUGGCAUCAGUUGUGCUUUUCGUCUUUGCAACAAGGUGCCAUUUGGCUAAGCUUAUUCAUCAGAAAUAAGAGCUUAUUUCUGGAGAUAUAUUCUUUUCUGAAAUAAACUCUUAAUAUUUUAUCACAUAACGAAUAUGAAAUACUUGUUGAACAUUUAUAAUAACUAUAUUAGCCUUCUCUAGACAGACAGACACCAUAUGAAUGCAUAGUGUAGCAUAGUUGAAGAUCAAAUUUCGGGGAAUGAUAUUGAAAUCAUAAUCACCCAUCCAUUUUCAGGAACAAAGCAGUUGGUGAUGAAACAAAGCAGUUGGUCUUGGUGAUGACAGAAACAAUACAAAAUUGGGACAAGCUCCUUGUAGGCCAUUAGGAGUCGCAAUCAACUACAAUAAUGGUGACCUUAUGUUUUUUUUUUUUGCUAAUUGAUUACACACGCACACGUGGGGAGUCGAACUCCCGACCUCCCGCAAGGGGGUACAAGAGCUCUACCGCCACACCAACACUUUGUUG
rnacentral:lncRNA from 1 species